UACGAAGGGGGCUAGCGUUGUUCGGAAUUACUGGGCGUAAAGCGCACGUAGGCGGAUUGUUAAGUGAGGGGUGAAAUCCCAGGGCUCAACCCUGGAACUGCCUUCCAUACUGGCAAUCUCGAGUCCGAGAGAGGUGAGUGGAAUUCCGAGUGUAGAGGUGAAAUUCGUAGAUAUUCGGAGGAACACCAGUGGCGAAGGCGGCUCACUGGCUCGGUACUGACGCUGAGGUGCGAAAGCGUGGGGAGCAAACAGG
rnacentral:rRNA from 1 species